rnacentral:tRNA from 1 species
GGAGGAUAUAGCUCAGUGGUAAAGUGCAUGCCUAUGAUGCAUGAGGUCCUGGGUUCAAUCUCCAGUACUUCCA